rnacentral:rRNA from 1 species
GAAUUCGCCCUUAGAGUUUGAUCCUGGCUCAGGAUGAACGCUAGCGGCAGGCCUAACACAUGCAAGUCGAGGGGUAACAGGGGAGCUUGCUCCCGCUGACGACCGGCGCACGGGUGCGUAACGCGUAUACAAUCUACCUUGUACUGAGGGAUAGCCCAGAGAAAUUUGGAUUAAUACCUCAUAGUAUCAUAUUGCGGCAUCGUAUUUAUGAUUAAAGGUUACGGUACAAGAUGAGUAUGCGUCCUAUUAGUUUGUUGGUAAGGUAACGGCUUACCAAGACUACGAUAGGUAGGGGCCCUGAGAGGGGGAUCCCCCACACUGGUACUGAGACACGGACCAGACUCCUACGGGAGGCAGCAGUGAGGAAUAUUGGACAAUGGAGGAGACUCUGAUCCAGCCAUGCCGCGUGCAGGAAGACGGCCCUAUGGGUUGUAAACUGCCUUUAUACAGGAAGAAACAGUCCCUCGUGAGGGAUCUUGACGGUACUGUAAGAAUAAGGACCGGCUAACUCCGUGCCAGCAGCCGCGGUAAUAAGGGCG